CCACUCUCUAUACUAUACCAUCUUAGUGUUCGUUUGCUAUCCAUAUUAGGCAUAGAUAGUCCCCCUAUCUAUCAUAAUUUCCAUGUUUGGUUUCCAUGUUAGCAAUCUACCUGACCCGAAUCCUACAUCCCAGUACCCGACACACGCCGUGAUAUGGGAACCCAAAACAUAGAUAUCUCUAUCUCUGUUGCACCAUGCGAUAGGGAUGAAUCAACGUGGUGAAGAUUUCGCAUUUCAACCAAUUGACUUGAAUGAAUACCCCUUCAUUUACUCCAUCUCCAUCUACUGUACUCCACAAUCAACCAACAAUUGCAGAUAGGCGACGCGUUCUGUGAGAAACACUAGGUUGCAAGCUAAUGCCCUGGGUAAUUCGAACGCCGAGGAGCCAUGGCCGAACAUGACGUUGUUUAGAAGGUGGAUAGAAAGGAGCCAACCGAGCUACUGAUCUUGCUUGAGGAAGUACUAAGAAACCAUCGGAUAAAUGUUUAUCGCUCUGGCCAGAUCCAAUGCACAGAAAAGGAAACCGGGGGGGGGGGGAAGAGUUACCCCAGAGGUAAUGAUUGACUCCAUUCCUGCUCAUGUAAAGCAGCUGGAUAGGCUUGUCUGGGUUUCUGAUCGUUUAUGUAUAGACAAUUUGCGGAUGGAUAGAAACACUUUCAGUAGAUUAUGUCGCAUUCUACGUGACCGGGCUGGAUUAAUAGACCAAAAUUUGUCACUGUUGAGGAACAAGUUGCCAUAUUUUUGUCAAUUCUAGCUCACCACAAAAAGACACGGGUUGUGGGACAUGAUUUCAUGCGUUCUUCUAAAACAGUGUCUAAGUACACACAUAUGGUGCUCCGUGGGGUGCUUACUUUGCAUGAGAUUUUUUAGUGAAACCUGAACCGGUUGGUGAUGACUGCACGGACUCCAGAUGGAAGUGGUUCAAGGGUUGUCUAGGAGCUUUAGAUGGGACAUACAUACACGUACCAGUGCCCAUUGCUGACACACCACGUUAUCGUAAUAGAAAGGGGCAAGUAUCAACAAACACACUUGCAGUGUGUGAUUGACAACUUCGGUUCGUGUAUGUGCUGCCAGGAUGGGAGGGUUUAGCGGGUGAUUCACGAAUAUUACGCGAUGCAAUUAGCCGGCCUCUCGGGCUUAAAGUACCCAAAGGUCAAGCAGUCUGAUAUUUGUGUUAGUAAAGUUGGUAGGCUGGACACUCACCUGUUCACAUUGUUUCCCAUUUGUAGAUUGCUAUUACCUCUGCGACAAUGCAUAUGCCAACAGCAGGGGAUUCAUCACACCGUACAAAGGCGUUCGUUACCAUUUGAAGGAGUGGGGUCAUGGAACCCAAGCACCGCAAACAGCCGAUGAAUUAUUCAACUUGAAGCAUUCUAAAGCUCGGAAUGUGAUUGAGCGUUCUUUUGUAGUACUCAAGAUGCAUUGGGGAAUACUUCGCAGCCCAAGCUUCUAUCCUAUUGAGGUCCAAACGGGGUUGAUCAUUGCUUGUUUCUUGAUCCACAAUUUUAUACGCACUUAGAUGGAGGUGGAUCCGUAUGAUGAAUUGGUAGGAGUUCAACUUGAAGAUGGGUAUGGGAGUGAUCACGAUGAGCCCGUGGUGCCCACUAACACUACGGUCACGCCAACACCAAUGUGGACGAAGAAGAGGGUCGACCUUGCUGCUGCAAUGUGGGCUCAUAGGACAAACGUGUGAUCGAUGUGGUUGCGAUUAUUCGUCAGAUAACAUAUCACUUUGUAUUACUGCAUUGAAAUGUUUCAUAACAUACUUAUUAACACACUUGGUUUUAAGUAAUGCUUAUUUGUUUGACA